rnacentral:rRNA from 1 species
UACGAAGGGGGCUAGCGUUGCUCGGAAUCACUGGGCGUAAAGCGCACGUAGGCGGGUCGUUAAGUCGGGGGGUGAAAUCCUGGAGCUCAACUCCAGAACUGCCUUCGAUACUGGCGAUCUUGGAGUCCGGGAGAGGUGGGUGGAACUGCGAGUGUAGAGGUGAAAUUCGUAGAUAUUCGCAAGAACACCAGUGGCGAAGGCGGCUCACUGGCCCGGUACUGACGCUGAGGUGCGAAAGCGUGGGGAGCAAACAGG